UACGAAGGGGGCUAGCGUUGCUCGGAAUCACUGGGCGUAAAGCGCACGUAGGCGGCUUUCUAAGUCGGUGGUGAAAUCCUGGAGCUCAACUCCAGAACUGCCUCCGAUACUGGAAGGCUCGAGUCCGGGAGAGGUGAGUGGAACUGCGAGUGUAGAGGUGAAAUUCGUAGAUAUUCGCAAGAACACCAGUGGCGAAGGCGGCUCACUGGCCCGGUACUGACGCUGAGGUGCGAAAGCGUGGGGAGCAAACAGGG
rnacentral:rRNA from 1 species